CUACGGGUCGCACCAGUGGGGAAUAUUGCACAAUGGGCGCAAGCCUGAUGCAGCCAUGCCGCGUGUAUGAAGAAGGCCUUCGGGUUGUAAAGUACUUUCAGCGGGGAGGAAGGGAGUAAAGUUAACACCUUUGCUCAUUGACGUUACCCGCAGAAGAAGCACCGGCUAACUCCGUGCCAGCAGCCGCGGUAAUACGGAGGGUGCAAGCGUUAAUCGGAAUUACUGGGCGUAAAGCGACGCAGGCGGUUUGUUAAGUCAGAUGUGAAAGCCCCGGGCUCAACCUGGGAACUGCAUCUGAUACUGGCAAGCUUGAGUCUCGUAGAGGGGGGUAGAAUUCCAGGUGUAGCGGUGAAAUGCGUAGAGAUCUGGAGGAAUACCGGUGGCGAAGGCGGCCCCCUGGACGAAGACUGACGCUCAGGUGCGAAAGCGUGGGGAGCAAACAGGAUUAGAUACCCCGGUAGUC
rnacentral:rRNA from 1 species